UAUCUCUGUAGAGUCUGCAUAUCAAUAAGCGGAGGAAAAGAAACUAACAAGGAUUCCCCUAGUAACGGCGAGUGAAGCGGGAAGAGCUCAGAUUUGAAAUCUUCAAGGUUUGACCUUGACGAAUUGUAGUUUAAAGAAGUGUUUUCGGUUAGAGGAGUAGUAAAAGUUCUUUGGAAUAGGACAUCAUAGAGGGUGAGAAUCCCGUAUUUGGAUUAUUCAUUCUAGCUUUGUGAUACACUUUCAAGAGAGUCGGAUUGUUUGGGAAUGCAGUCCAAAAUGGGUGGUAAAUUUCAUCUAAAGCUAAAUAUUGGCGAGAGACCGAUAGCGAACAAGUACCGUGAGGGAAAGAUGAAAAGAACUUUGAAAAGAGAGUUAAACAGUACGUGAAAUUGUCAAAAGGGAAGCGUUUGACACCAGUGUUGUUUUUCCGAAAAUCAAUUACGAAUGGCUUGAUUUUGUGUUGUAUUGACCUUAUCAGCUUUCUUCACUUUUUUCGAGUCUUUCUUAAUGCACUUUUCGGUUAACAAGUCAACAUCAAUUUCUUUUGUUGUAAAAGAGUAUUCGGAAGGUGGCUUUCUUUUCGGAGAAAGUGUUUAUAGCCCUAUACUUCUACAAUCGGAGAGAUUGAGGUCUGCAGCGUAGAUCCUUCGGGGUUAGAUACAUUUAUGCUAAGUUAUAGCUUUUCAUAGACAACUUGUUGACUAUGUUUAGUCAUGUAGCUUACUCGUAAGUGCUAUUUUACCUACGCUUAGGAUGUUGAAGACUCUACAGAGAUA
rnacentral:rRNA from 1 species